UCAUGGAAAUUUCUGUAAAUAUCCAAUAACGUUCAAUUUAUAAAAAGAUUGCGGCAGUCUUUUUAUAUUUUAGACAUAUUUAUGUUUUUAACUUAACACUUUCCAAAAUCUGUUGCUCAAUCAUCAUUAAAAAGUCAAUCUUUUGAAAUAUAUAGUCAAUUCAGCUCAACUUGACAAUGGAAAAAUGAGCAUAAUGUCACUGGUGUAAAACAUAAUACUGAUUUAUUUUGCAGAGAAUUCAGAGAACUGAAAAAUGAAAAUGAUAAACUAAAGAAGUCAAACCAUGAUGAGGUAUUGCAACAGAAAGCCUCUGAGAUAGAUGCAUUGCAUAAAAAGGUGGAAGAACUUAGUAGUAAACUGAAAGAAUUCGAAGACAUUAAAACACAGCUACAAAAUGCCAA